GCGAAUGCACCAGAAUGCACUCAUUGGUUUACGUUUACAUGAAUGAACAUGGUUAUUGAAAUUUUGUGCUAACUUCUCACGUUUUAAGUAAAACGCACUUAUUCAAUCCCUUUUCUGUUAUCAAUUAUCAAGGUGAUAGAGUAAAAUUUUAAACACUACCCUUAUAUUUCAAAUUGUUUUGGAAGGAAAUCAGAAAAAUCAUGAAAAAGAAGGGAAAGAACCCAGAAAGUUGAGGUAAAGAUGAGGACAUUUACAUAUACACCAGGAACAUUACUGGUUGCACAACCAAUACCCCAUGCUACCAUUCCAACAACUUGCCACUGAUCAUUGCCAGAUUGACAUACCAAUGGUGAACCACCAUCACCCUAGAAGAAACACACGUUUCCCCUCCUGCACAUAAGAAGCUAUUUUGGUUAAGAUCAAAAGAUUGUCCAAGCCUGGUUCUUUUAAGCUCAGCUUCGCAAGUUGUUUGACCAACAAUGGAUACAUCUACUUCCUUCAUUAUACUCUGGUAUCUGCCAUUUGCACCGAAUGCAUCUUUUCCCCAGCCUGAUACCCAGCACCUGGAUUAAAAAUUGCAUUUGCAGGUAUUGCUCUAGGCAAGCAAGCAGUAUUGAUAUUAGGACUAGUUGAGAUAGGGACAGUACCACUUAAGGUUAUUACUGCUACAUCAUUUUGAAGAUUAACAGAAUUGAACUGUGGAUGUAUUGAUACUCUCUGGACUGAAUAUUCUUUAUAUGGAUAAGGCUCGUUAGUCGAUUGUACAUCCCAGUCUCCUAAUCUUACUUUGAGACCACCAUUUCUGUUAGACAGGGGCUACUUUGUGAGCAACAGUGAGCACAUGGUUUGGAGUAAUAAGCACCCCAGAGCCUGCAUAAGAGCUGCUCGAAGUUAAAAGUACAGCUUGCCAAGGAUAUGCUCCAUAACUAGCUUGGCCUUGGGGACGCGAAGUUGCGGCGAUUUUUCUAAUACCACAGGAGUCAGCCAAGUUUCCAGACAUUGAACAACAGUAUACUUCUCCAGCAGAGCAAUCAGAACCCUUGAAGAAAUGAAAAUGAAAUAAUAUAUUCAAAAAAGAAAUUCGAUUAAAACGAAAGAAUGUACUAAAUUAACUAUUUUGUACGUACUGGGUUAACUAUACGAAUGUCGAUGUCAGUGGUCGAUGUAUAGGGACACGUACCCGUUGGAACACAACAACAACCGUUUUCACCUUAAAGUUAGCGUUUGUAGGACUAUCAAAGGUAACCGUGUCUUGCGCCAGGACAUAAUACCGCAGAAUGCAAGCCACAAACAACAGGAACGAGCUGGUACCAAACAUUAUGGAACAGCUAUCUGUUUUCUAAGUUAUUCUGAGCUGUGCAAAAUCAAAGAACAAUAAGACUAGAGUAGCAGGUGUUCAUUGAUUUAUAUAGAAGAAGCGGUGGAAGAGCAGUAAUUCUUGUCGCGGCAAUGAAACGGUGUAAAAUAAAUCGGCCAAACAAUUUGUCGUAAAUUACUUCCGAUCAUGAUUGUGCCUUCAUUUACGUGUGGAACGAUGUCGCAAUGUUGUUGGAUUUUCACAAUAAAAUGCUUAGAAGUGGAACGAAAUGGAAGGUCAGACGCGCGUUAAAACGAAGAAGGUCAAUAAAUAUGACUUCUCGGUAGUUGCGUUAUGCAUCAUAAUUACGCUGGUUUUUCCUUUUCGUUAAUUGUAAAUAUCUGUUACAUACAGCGCUAUAAAUACAUAAAUAAGGGUUCUGGUUGAGAAGUCGCAUUCUCACUUUGAGCUUUGCACAUGUGAGAGCCUGCUUCAAGCAUUUUAAUAAAACUAUUCCUAUUAUUCUCUUUGAAAUAUAAAA